rnacentral:lncRNA from 1 species
AGAGGGCGGUAACCUUCCGCGAGGAGCUCUCUUUGCCGCAAGUGUCGCCGCUUUGCCGCUCUUGUGCUUUGUUUCGUCUGACGUUACCCGUACAAGGAAAAGUAGCUCACAAGUCAGGCAUUAAGCUUUGUUACUAGAUUAAAGGUGUCGCCAUCGUAGCCCAUUUCAGCCAGCGUCUGCCGUGCAGCAACGGAUGCCUCAGAAACCGGACUGAGCGCCGAGGCUGAGCUUCUCGUGCGAGCGCCCCGUGCCCGUCACUCACUCUGAGCGCGUGACUCCACUUUCAGUCUAAAUUUAAUAAAAGUCGAUUUGUAAUACUUGUCUCACAUUAUAAAUUAUGUGUAGAAUGGUGUUAAAACCUUUUUUUUUUUUAACACCUUAAAAACAUUGCCAGACUGUUCCACAUGUUCUCUUCCUGUUGCCCAAAAAGCUUAACACAGUCGUCUUUUUUUAGUGAAUUGACUGUAAUGUCCUCCAUUGCGGAGCCGUCCGAUAUACCUGACGCUCCAGCACGUUCACGUUUCAGCAGCUCGAACGCUGACCGAGCGCAAUGGUAGUGACCGCAUCGCACCUGUGUUAGAAUCCCAGCCCUGGCUUCCCGUAAGAUUUCCAGUUGACUUCAAAAUCCUCCUGCUUUCCCGUAAAGCUCUACAUGGCCAGACUGUUGACUCGUCUCUACCUCUCUGUCCUAAGUCCAACGGUCUCUUCUCCAUCUCGUAGUCUUCUUUUGUCUGACUAGUCUUCUACCUGUUCCUCAUGUUCACCUGUAUCCUCCUGUUUCUCCUCCAAACCGUGGAAUUCCUUCACUAAAAAUAUCCGGGCCUGUCCUACUCCGGACAGCAUUAAGUCCGGGAUCAAAAACUACAUGUUCAGAAUAACCCAAGAACAUUGCUUUCUUCUUUCUCUUUACAGUUGUUUUCUUUAUCAUCAUAAUCCUUAUAACACCCAAUGCUUUAAGGAUCAAAGUCCAGACCACUGCCACCCUGAGAAGCCACUGGAAACUGUCCAAGAUGGAGAACCCAUUGCAGAACAAGCUCAUCUACCUGUGGAGCACACUGCCAGAACUAUUGAUGGUGUUUCAGAGCUCCAGCCCAGUGUCGGUAUUUCUGGCCUAAACCUCAGACGCCAGCCUAAGGCCGCUGAAGAAGGCCGGACUGCUCUUGAUGGCGACGGGGGCAAUUCCUACCCGUUGUCACGCGGCGCAAAUGCCGGAACCCCCGCUGCAGCGUUGGACCUUCGCGAUCCGCCGACAGCGGGUGUAAGGAGAAGUACUUUGACGAAGGCAGUUACAGAAGGAUUCAAACCAACAACCAUCCAGUUAUGAGACAACUGUCCUAAAGAUGACGCUACAUGCUGCUCCCCGAACGCAAAGGAUUCUGGACAGCUGGAAGGGGAACUGUGAGCUGUAUGAAGAGUACUGGUGUAGCGGAAGAGACCCCUCCCUCCCCCUCUCCCUUCCGGGGGCUCGACCGGUUGCUGCACAUCACCGCUAGAGGACGCACGCAUUGCGGAGUCUCCGAGACAAUGGAUCUACCCAGGAUCGUCGAAUGGCACCAUAAGAGAUAUAAGUAUUCCACGCUGAUGAAUAUGCGCGUUUAAGCACGGCUCGCGUGUUCUUCUAAAUUGACGCCGCACGCCAGGUAUUCGUUCCGCCGUAGCUGGGCUCCACUGGAACCGUUAUUGAUCUGCAAGGAGAUGAGAGCUCUUUGUGCUGCAGGCCUCUUCUUGUCCCAUCUUGCUGGAGUGGAGUUCAAUACCCACACAGCAGCUCCAGCCCCCCAGUGCCACAGCUGAUUGAAUUAUUGUCCUCUCCUGUGUGGACAGUAAGCUCGCUAUUUGUCGGAGCCGCAGACCGUGAAUGCCGCCUUGUGACCAAGUGCGGGGGGCACCACGCUUUCCAGAAACGCAGGUUUUCAAGGGUUAAAGGGGAAGGCAUUCCAUCCUCGUCGACCCCCCCACCCCCGCCUCCUCCCUCCAGGUGGGGGUGGGGGUUGAGGGGGGUGUGCUACAAUACAUCUGUAAGAUGUUGAAGAAGCAACUCCUGGACUCCAGUUAAUUAACCACAUCAGUUUCUUAAUGUGAUCAAUUUUAAUUAAACUGAAUUUUAAUUGGGAUCGGAGGUCUGCGGAGAGCGCUUGCUAAUUCCGCCGAACGCAUGUGCCGUCGAAGCGGCCGCUUUUCACUUCACAUUUGCCAGGGCCUAAUUAAUAUGGAUAGGGCAUUAAGCCUUUUGGACUCUGGUGGCUUCCAUUUCAUGACUAUUAAUGAUUUUAAUGAACUGGACUAAUUCAGUACUUUUCAGCCGUGGUCCUUUAAAGUGCUGUGCCGUGCUUAUUUAGUUUUGUAAUGGGCAUCGAGAUCUGAGUGGGCGAGACUGGUCAUCUGCUUCAGCCAAGACUGCCGCUUUGCUGGGCAUCGGAGACUGAAAUGGAAAUGUUUUUUGUUCGAUGUUAAAAAAAUAAUUCACUGUGAAAUGUCCUUGUCUCGUUUGUCCUCGUCUCUACACCGGAUGCGCACGUCCCAAAUUCUGCCAUUCCACGGUGUUAUCUUUUUUCAAAAACACGGGGCGGCUUCUACGAGCACUCAGAAGCUCAUCCCUUGUGAGGAGGUUCUUCAGAGUGGGCUGAUCGUGGAUUCAUGAGUUCCCGGUGGUGGUGUUUGAUCACAUCCCCUCUUAAUCUUAUAUGAUAGAGAGCAUGUGUAAAAUGUGUGCUCAUUGAGAGCUCUGAGUAGCAGCCGUGACAAGACGAAUUCAGACUGAAAAGCGUCGUGCUGCCCCUCGCAUCUAAGUAGCGCGCAGGGAUAAAUACUGAGAAGCAGCCGUUACUAAGAUCUGUGUCACGACAGGCCGAGAGAACCGGGACGGAAAGACCCGAGCGCGGAGUCGUCCGUCCGGAGUCAGAGGAUCAGGCAAGUUCUCGGUAUCGGGGACAGGCGGAGGGUCGGUCGAUCGGCGGUCGGGGUCGGAGCGGGAAUCCACGGGCGAGGUCCGGAGACGGAGCGAAGAGUCGGUCGAGCCGCGAUCGGAGUUGAAACGAAGAUCCGUGGACGUGGUCGAGAAACAAAGCUGGGGUCAAAACCGGAGAACGUGAACUGAAAAGUGGAGAUGCGUAUGAGCGGGGAGUCACAAGGAAGGGCGGUUGUCUCUGACGAGAUUCCGCAAAGGUGUGGGAGCUGAGGAGGGUCUUUUAAAGGGUGAGCGGUUAAUCGGGUGCUGGAGCAGAGUCAGGUGUUGUCGGUUGGGUUGUUGGCGUGGACGUGACAAUCUGCAAAGGAAGCGAGAACUUGGAGGCUUCCUCUAAAAACGUAGCCGGAAGAAACGCAUGAAUCUCUUUUAAUGUUCCUGGAAACAGGUUGUAUACCUCUGCUGAGAAACGUAACGUUUACAGUGUUUCUUUAUGUUUGAGACACGUAGGAAUGUAAAUGAGGAUCGAGAGCUAAUACGAUUUUUUUUUCGUGUUUGUUUGUGCUCUGCGAUGCGACCUCGCAGACCCUGCCGCAGAGCUCGUCGAAAGCAACCAAACACCCUGCAGGAUAAAAAGGUAAUUUACGCUCCUAUAGCUGUGCGCUCUGGCGUGCCAGUUGAGGUACGGGCGGAAGACUAAAGAAGUACAGGUGAGUUUACUAUAACACGGUAAAAGCCACAAAAAUGCCAUCAACUCACAUUUUAUGCCCCUUUUCUUUGUUAAAAUGCAAUUCACAGCUUUAAAGAGAUAGCAACUUCCGCUGAUCAUCCACGGUUUAUUAUUUAACAAUUUUAUAGUGCGUGAUUGAACGUCAUCUGACGCUUGUGUCAGUGUGAGGGUGUGACAGGGGGUCAGGCCUCCUAGAAUGAUCACUUUGCAGUGUUGAGCUUCAGCUUCACCCUCUGCUACCAGUCCCAGCACCGGAGCCCACCAGAGCAGGGCAUCUUCACUCCCACGCAAGAUCCAGCGCUGAUGUUGCGAAAAAGUUACACCGGCACAGAAGUGAGGGCAGCGCAGGCAUAACAAUGGCCAUCAGGAGCAGUCGAGAAGAUGCUCGAUGACAAAACGCAAAGAAUAAAAUCUACGUGUCUGUGACGCUGCCUGCA